rnacentral:rRNA from 1 species
UACGUAGGCAGCGAGCGUUGUUCGGAGUUACUGGGCGUAAAGCGCACGUAGGCGGCUUUGUAAGUUAGAGGUGAAAGCCCGGGGCUCAACUCCGGAAUUGCCUUUAAGACUGCAUCGCUAGAAUUGUGGAGAGGUAAGUGGAAUUCCGAGUGUAGAGGUGAAAUUCGUAGAUAUUCGGAAGAACACCAGUGGCGAAGGCGGCUCACUGGACUGGUAUUGACGCUGAGGUGCGAAAGCGUGGGAGCAAACAGG